GUUAAACGUUUUUUGUUAAAAGUUUUAACUUCAUUCAGACAGACAUAUCAAACACACCAUUUACUCCGACGUGGUGUACAGACAGGUUGUUAGGGUGUUAGUCUGCCACUAUGCAGCCUGAACGAGCACAUAAAGCUGUGUGUGGGCAGAGCCUGCUGUCCAUCGCCCUCAGGGUGUAUCUAAACAACAAGAACAGACUGCAGCCCAUCAUCGGUCAGGAACAGCCGUGUGUAUAUGUGUGUGUAUCUGUGUGUUUGUAUGUGUACGUGUGUGUGUGUGUGUGUGUGUGUGUGUGUGUACAAAUCUCCUGUCUUUCUGUUAGGUGCUGGAGUUGGAUGCUGCCAUUUAUGAGGAGAUGACGUUGCACAGUGACAUCGAUGCUCUCAUCCUCUUGCAUGCCAUCAGGACUGGGCGGGAGCAGAGAAAUCUCAAGAGCCAAUCAGAGAAGCCAUCAGUCCAGUCGGAGUAUCUCGCCAUCCGAUCACAGAGAACCAUUAUAUCACCUCAGAGGCUCUACGUCCAACCUGAGAAGCCUGUUGUCCAGAUUGAUAACCGAACUGUCCUAUGGAAGAGUCCGACUGCCCGGAGGAACUCA
rnacentral:lncRNA from 1 species